GUGGGAAUGGAUGCAGCUUGUGGAGUUAAAGUAAUCAGAGCCUUUGACAUUUCAGCUUGAGAGAAUCUACACUGGCUUCCCUUAUGGGAAAAACAAGCUUGUAUGGGUCAGCACAUAUGGAUAUUUGCAGAGAGUAUUUAUCAGAUAGUUUCCUUCAACAUGCCCCCAACCAUGGAAUAAAAACUUUUAAUUUGCAGAGCCGUGGCCAAAGAUAUUUCUGAAUGGAUUCCAAUAUCGGGUACCUGUAUAGUUAGGACAAUCUCAGUUUUCACUGCCCA